rnacentral:rRNA from 1 species
AACGAACGCUGGCGGCAUGCCUAACACAUGCCAGUCGAACGAGACCUUCGGGUCUAGUGGCGCACGGGUGCGUAACGCGUGGGAACCUGCCCUUAGGUUCGGAAUAACUCCCCGAAAGGGGUGCUAAUACCGGAUAAUGUCUUCGGACCAAAGAUUUAUCGCCUUUGGAUGGGCCCGCGUUGGAUUAGCUAGUUGGUAGGGUAAAAGCCUACUAAGGCGACGAUCCAUAGCUGGUCUGAGAGGAUGAUCAGCCACACUGGGACUGAGACACGGCCCAGACUCCUACGGGAGGCAGCAGUGGGGAAUAUUGGACAAUGGGCGAAAGCCUGAUCCAGCCAUGCCGCGUGAGUGAUGAAGGCCUUAGGGUUGUAAAGCUCUUUUACCCGGGAUGAUAAUGACAGUACCGGGAGAAUAAGCUCCGGCUAACUCCGUG